rnacentral:lncRNA from 13 species
AUGAACCUAAUCCCCUCCAAAUGUCUCAUUGUCAGCUACAUACUGCAGACAUCUCUCUCUCUGUGGUGGUCCGUCCACUUUAACAGAUAUCUCUCUCUCUGUGGUGGUCCUUCCACUUUAACAGAUAUCUCUCUCUGUGGUGGUCCUUCCACUUUAACAGAUAUCUCUCUCUGUGGUGGUCCUUCCACUUUAAUAGAUAUCUCUCUCUGUGGUGGUCCUUCCACUUNNNNNNNNNNCAUUUGUGAUGAGAUACGUUGGAAUGGAAUGUACAGAUAUCAUUUUUUUUGUGUGACGCUUUUUCCUUGACCGUUUCCAUGUCAACGUUAGAUCGACCUUCUCCCGCAGAUCUUUACUAAAGAGUGUGUUCUCUUCCUCUUUCCCUUCUCUGUAGCUCCUUCCAGAGCUGGCUAACCCAGAUGACUUGUUGUCUUACCUGGAUCCUCCAGACCUCCCGAGCAGUAGCAACGAUGACCUUCUCUCGCUCUUUGAAAACAACUGACUCUGAUUCUAGAUCAGUUAAUUUUAAAAAAUCUAUUAAAAAAACAAACACUUAUAGGACUGCCUGGAGUUGGACCUAUAACAUCUGACCUGAGACCUGCUCCAGUACUUGACAAACACAAAGAUGCACUCCCUUUCUCCUUUUCCUCUUGUACAGUUUGCAUUGAUUCUCCAGCAGACUGACUGACAGACUGACUGAUUGACUGAANNNNNNNNNNNNNNNNNNNNNNCUAGUCAGGCCUUCUUUUAAUUUUUUAACAUUUUUUAUAUACAAAUUUAAAUAAAAUGUAUCAAGUGUGAUAAAGCAAUAUUCACAGAUCUUCUUUUGUGCUCAAAUGUGGUAGAGUAAAAUGUGUGUAUUUUUCGACAACUAACAUUCACAUUUUUAGGUUAAGAAUGAACAAUAAUGAUUCACAAAAACUGUGGUAGCUAUCCACUAUCCACUACCAGAGAACUAUGUGAAUAUCAGAAUUGUUGCUAAUUAUUGUCGAUAUACGAGUGGUAUUUUAAAGAUACCACAGCCUUAUGUUAAAGAAAUGUUGGAUAUUUUUUUUAUUUUUGUUCUUGAAAAUGUGUUUCUUUUAAAGCUUAAAGACCAUUUACAUUUUGUUUCCCAUUUUAAAAGCUGUUUUUUUUUUUGGAAGGGGGGGGGGGUAAAUUAUUUUGUAUUGUUUUUAUUUUAUUUUAAAUGUAAAGUUAGACAUAUAAUUUUAUUUAACUGUAGCAAUGUACUGAUUUAAAACAUCCUGGUUAUUGUAAACCUAACAUUUUAAACUUCAUUAUUGCUCUAGAAAUAGUUACAGUGCAAGAGAUAUUUCGAUAGAAUAGCUGAUAUUAAUGUGUAAAGCCUGUCACUUAAAUCAUGAAAUCAAUUGAUCGAUCUUCUUGACAAAGGACUACCAACAUCAACUUUUUUUAAAAAUGUUUUUAUUGAUAUCAGAAUUGAAACCUAAACUUGAUCGUUCCCACGGCGAUCGUUCCCACGGCGAUACCUAGCUCUGGUCCUCGAAGGGUGUGUUUCCAGAGCUAGGAGAUGCAUAGCUAUCAUUUCACAUUUUGCCAUGUUUACAUAUGAACAGGUUUGUGUAGAGGGCAACCUAAAUCUGUCACAACCAUCCCGGAAGUUUAGUGUUUCUGUGGAAAAUACGGUUUCAAAAAGGAAAAACUAAAAAAACAAAAACUGAGAGGCGACGCACCACCCGUUUAGGCUUUUAGGGAAGGAUCUGCAUGGGAGACUGCUAAAGUGGAUAUCUGUUGGCCCUAAGAUAAACCUGGACACAAUGUAAAUGAAUAGAGACACUUUGUGAACAAAACAAUUUUGUUCAUUUUCCCUGCGAAUGUGUAUCGUUUUUUUUUUUUUUAAUUCAGAAUAUGAAGAAGCUUGCAACCUCUUCAAUUGGUAGAAGGCCUGACUUACGGGAAAAUGAAAAAAAUGUGUUAGUUAUGCUGGUCUGUAUGAAAAAUAUUUUCUUGGCAUUUUUUUUUUUUGGGGUGACCCUUCUCUGUAAUUUGACCUUUUUUUUGUUACUUAAAGGGGACUGGGACAGCUAUGUUUGACCUACAUGUUAAUAAUUAGCUUCCGUGUGCUAGUCUAUCACCUGAGUAUCUGAGGUGCUACAACUGUAAACAACAGAAGAAGAAAAUAUUGAGGAAAAUACCAGGGGGAAUUGAACCAAAUCCAUAGUUUGGGCAUUUUUUUUUUUUUAUGAAAUCUAAAUAGUACAAGCUAAGGUGAAAAUGUGGCCAUUUUGUCUCUCUGUUUGUACAUUGUAUGUCCAAUCAUUUCAUAUUCUAAAAAACUGGUCAGAAAAAUAAAAGGAACUAAUUGUGAUUUUUAGUCUUGC